rnacentral:rRNA from 1 species
AGUCGAACGGUGAACCCGCUUCGGUGGGGGAUCAGUGGCGAACGGGUGAGUAACACGUGGGCAACCUGCCCUCAGCUCUGGGAUAACUCCAAGAAAUUGGGGCUAAUACUGGAUAUGACCGCUGACCGCAUGGUCUGGUGGUGGAAAGAUUUAUCGGCUGGGGAUGGGCCCGCGGCCUAUCAGCUUGUUGGUGGGGUAGUGGCCUACCAAGGCGACGACGGGUAGCCGGCCUGAGAGGGUGACCGGCCACACUGGGACUGAGACACGGCCCAGACUCCUACGGGAGGCAGCAGUGGGGAAUAUUGCGCAAUGGGCGAAAGCCUGACGCAGCGACGCCGCGUGGGGGAUGACGGCCUUCGGGUUGUAAACCUCUUUCAGCAGGGACGAAGCGAAAGUGACGGUACCUGCAGAAGAAGCACCGGCCAACUACGUGCCAGCAGCCGCGGUAAUACGUAGGGUGCAAGCGUUGUCCGGAAUUAUUGGGCGUAAAGAGCUCGUAGGCGGUUUGUUGCGUCGGCUGUGAAAACCUGAGGCUCAACCUCAGGCCUGCAGUCGAUACGAGCAGACUAGAGUGUUGCAGGGGAGACUGGAAUUCCUGGUGUAGCGGUGAAAUGCGCAGAUAUCAGGAGGAACACCGGUGGCGAAGGCGGGUCUCUGGGCAACAACUGACGCUGAGGAGCGAAAGCGUGGGGAGCGAACAGGAUUAGAUACCCUGGUAGUCCACGCCGUAAACGUUGGGCGCUAGGUGUGGGGCUCAUUCCACGAGUUCCGUGCCGCAGCUAACGCAUUAAGCG